ACUGGGGAAAAUUGGAAUCUACAUUACUGCAGAUUAAAGAAUUGAACAACUUUACGCCACAACUAGUAAUUCUGCAGAAUCGAAUAAGGGUUUUUUUUUAAUAAUAAUAAAAUCAAUCUACCUGCAAUAUUAUUACUUGAGGCUUCAGCUUUCAAAUAUGCUCUAUGGAUAUUUCCUUCAGCCUUCAUAAAAAGUUCUCUUUUCCCAUGUAUAAAUGUCUUGGAUACACAAGUUUUAUAAAUAUCCUCCAACAAAGUCUGUUUUCUUCCUGUUGCUAAGAUGAAUGAUCCCAAGUAUGGUUAUCCGUACCCGCCUCCAGGGUCUUAUGGGCCUCAAGUAGUGAUGGCACCUCCACAGUAUUAUCAUGCAGCUCAGCCACCACCACCACCACCUAAGAAAGAUUCAAGUUUUCUUGAAGGAUUCUUAGCAGCUUUGUGUUGCUGCUGUCUCUUGGAUGACUGUUGCUGCGAUCCCUCCAUUAUUUGCGUUACCUAAAUGCAGCUUUGUGUUGCUUCUGUUCCCUUUUCUAUUUUUCUGCCGAGUGUAUUCUAUUUCUGAUUAAUCCUAUAUAUUAAGUUUGCAGUAGCUAUGUAUCAGAUAAUACAGGUGUGAUCCUAUGUAUUUAUUUUUUGGGUUUGGUAUCAAAUAUUUUCAAUCUUCCAAUUACACGAUAAUAUAUCAUCUAUGCAUCCAAACUGUGUACUAAAAGUGUAUAUGCAAAAAAAAAAAAAAAAAAAAAAGCUAUUAAAGCUUCGCAAAUAGAAAGGAAAUGCAGACAGAAGAAAGUAAAACUGGUUUGUAUUAAAACAAGUGUAUUCACAUGCUUUCAGAAUUCAGCCACGUAUAUUUCCACAAUCCACUCCAAUUCUAUCCUCAAUCCUCUGUUAUCAAAUUUACCUUUUUCUUUCGCACCAACUUCACAUCUUUUUCUCUCAAGUCUUUAUCUUCAUAGUACAACCGAGUUAAACUCAGUACUCUUCCUGCCAAAUGUGAAUGAACCCAAGUAUGCAUAUCCUUAUCAUCCUCAAGGUAGUUGACAAAAUACCUAACAAUAUCAACUGUGGAAAUUAGGUGUUGAUUUGCAGGUGAAGAAUUUAAUAAAAUUUGAGUUGCAGCUGCAGGUGGGUAUCAUCACCAUGGAUCUCCGGUGAUGGCACCACCACUGUAUGUAGCUCCACCGCCAAGAGAGUCCAGUUUCUUCGAGGCCUGUCUUGCAGCUUUGUGUUGCUGCUGUCUCAUAGAGGAAUGCUGUUGCGAUCCCUUUAUGCUCUUCUGGCUCUAAUUGCCGAGAAUCAAUUUGUGUAAAAUGCUUUUCUUUUAAGAUCUUAUCCUCUUAUUUUGUCA